UUAUGGCCAUAUCACGUUGAAACACCGGUUCUCGCACGACCAUCGAAGUUAAGCGACGCCGUGACUGGUCAAUACCUAGAUGGGAGAUCGUUUGGGAAUACCAGAUACUGUAAG